rnacentral:rRNA from 1 species
CCUACGGGAGGCAGCAGUGGGGAAUAUUGGACAAUGGGGGCAACCCUGAUCCAGCCAUGCCGCGUGUGUGAAGAAGGCCCUCGGGUUGUAAAGCACUUUCAGUGAGGAAGAACGCCUGUUGGUUAAUACCCAUCAGGAAAGACAUCACUCACAGAAGAAGCACCGGCUAACUCCGUGCCAGCAGCCGCGGUAAUACGGAGGGUGCGAGCGUUAAUCGGAAUUACUGGGCGUAAAGCGCGCGUAGGUGGCUUGAUAAGCCGGUUGUGAAAGCCCCGGGCUCAACCUGGGAACGGCAUCCGGAACUGUCAAGCUAGAGUGCAGGAGAGGAAGGUAGAAUUCCCGGUGUAGCGGUGAAAUGCGUAGAGAUCGGGAGGAAUACCAGUGGCGAAGGCGGCCUUCUGGACUGACACUGACACUGAGGUGCGAAAGCGUGGGUAGCAAACAGGAUUAGAUACCCCUGUAGUC